AGCGGGAUAGAGUAGUGGUUACUCAUAGGUCUCAUAAGCCUAUCCAGGUCGGUUCAAUUCCGACUCCCGCUCCCA
rnacentral:tRNA from 1 species